GACGCUUCAUGACGGGAAGGACUGAAAUGUCUCACGGACGCCUGGUCUUUCCCUGAUGUCCCUGCGGC
rfam:Ailuropoda melanoleuca scaffold376_190, whole genome shotgun sequence.